UACAGAGGUCUCAAGCGUUGUUCGGAUUCAUUGGGCGUAAAGGGUGCGUAGGCGGCGCGGUAAGUCGGGUGUGAAAUCUCGGAGCUUAACUCCGAAACUGCAUUCGAUACUGCCGUGCUUGAGGACUGGAGAGGAGACUGGAAUUUACGGUGUAGCGGUGAAAUGCGUAGAUAUCGGAAGGAACAUCAGUGGCGAAAAGCGACUUCCUGGACCAGUACCGACGUUCAGGCACGAAAGCGUGGGGAGCAAACAGG
rnacentral:rRNA from 1 species